rnacentral:lncRNA from 1 species
UAAACUAACAUGCUUACAGAAGUAUCUUCUCUGGGGGUCUGUGGAAACAGGACAAAAGGGCAGCUGCUGAAACAUUUGGCUGUGCCGAGGGGUAGUGGGCUCGACAUGCUGGAGUUCUGCACAUGACCAGCUUGAGUUUGUAUCCACAGCUACAGGACAGAACUUUAUGGAAACACUUUGCCAAGCCAUGUGGUGCUCGGCUUCCCUUUGCAUCAAUACCCUUUUAAUUACCUGAUCCUGAGGGGGAAAAAGUUAGGGAAAAGUGUCAGUGCAAAAGCCUAGGAACCUGCUGUGAAUCAGACUUUUUCAAAAAGACAGCAUGAUAAAAUAUCUGGCAAUUAUUCUACAGGACAUCGAUCUAAAUCCGCAACUAGCCUGCAAAGAUGCUCUCUUUUGAAGAAGUCAUAACUGAAAAUGUGGUUGAAACUCAGGACUGCUCUUGCAGCGCAACGUCAGCAGCAGUCCCUUCCCUGGAACACUCUGGAAGUCUGAGGAACCUGCAGGCACCUGUGGUUGCUGGAGCUCUCUUCUCUGCGAGAGGCAGCAGGCAGUUCUCUGUGGAGGGACCCAGAUGGUCUGCAUUCAAGAAUCUACCAUUCUAGACUGAACAAGAAUAAGCAGAAUGACUUCUCUCAGAAGAACGGAGAGAGAGAAAACACUCAUCACCCUGUCACGGUGUCGGUUUCUAGCUUAGAAAGGUGAACACAGUGCUCCAGGGCCAUGCACACUUGUCCACAUGUCCUUUCGGUAUUGGAAAAUAAGGCAGCAUUUAGGUGGGUAUAAGCAUCAUUCUGUCAGUUGUUGAAGUCUCCACUGUUGAUGCCAAUUGUGUUUUCCCAAAUGUCUUAAAAAUCUGUUUGAAUAAAAAUGUCAAACCCU